rnacentral:rRNA from 1 species
AGAGUUUGAUCCUGGCUCAGAGCGAACGCUGGCGGCAGGCUUAACACAUGCAAGUCGAGCGGGCCCUUCGGGGUCAGCGGCAGACGGGUGAGUAACACGUGGGAACGUGCCCUUCAGUUCGGAAUAACCCAGGGAAACUUGGGCUAAUGCCGGAUACGCCCUUUUGGGGAAAGAUUUAUUGCUGAAGGAUCGGCCCGCGUCUGAUUAGCUUGUUGGUGGGGUAAUGGCCUACCAAGGCGACGAUCAGUAGCUGGUCUGAGAGGAUGAUCAGCCACACUGGGACCGAGACACGGCCCAGACUCCUACGGGAGGCAGCAGUGGGGAAUAUUGGACAAUGGGCGCAAGCCUGAUCCAGCCAUGCCGCGUGAGUGAUGAAGGCCUUAGGGUUGUAAAGCUCUUUCGCCCACGACGAUAAUGACGGUAGUGGGAGAAGAAGCCCCGGCUAACUUCGUGCCAGCAGCCGCGGUAAUACGAAGGGGGCUAGCGUUGCUCGGAAUCACUGGGCGUAAAGGGCGCGUAGGCGGAUUGUUAAGUCAGAGGUGAAAGCCCAGGGCUCAACCCUGGAAUUGCCUUUGAUACUGGCGAUCUUGAGACCGGAAGAGGUGAGUGGAACUGCGAGUGUAGAGGUGAAAUUCGUAGAUAUUCGCAAGAACACCAGUGGCGAAGGCGGCUCACUGGUCCGGUUCUGACGCUGAGGCGCGAAAGCGUGGGGGAGCAAACAGGAUUAGAUACCCUAGUAGUCC